UCGUUGUUUCCGAUGAUGGUGCAAUACAGGUGAUCGGACUGGUGGCCUUUGGCUGCUGGAAAGUUCACCGAUAUUUCUUCAAUAGAGGAAGCAA
rnacentral:rRNA from 1 species